CACUUAGUCAUUUUAAUUUCCCUGAAUCACCACCACCACCAACACUACCGCCACCACUAUCACCACCACCACCACCACCACCACAACACCGAUUUAUUAUUAUUAUUAUUAUUAUUUUAUUUACUUAUUCUUAUCAUCACAAGUUGGAGUUUUAUUGAUUUAUUUCCUUGUUAUUUAUUUAUUCAUCUUUAUUUAUUGAAAGUGUUAGAUAAUGUAGCAUAGGAUCGUUCUGUUGGAUGUUGUGGGGUAAAGGUAAUCAGAAUGGAAAUAAUUGAAUAUAGACGCUGGGAAAGACUGUAUUUGAGAAGUUUUCUGUUAUUUUAGGCCAAGACACUGAAAGAAAGCGAGAUACAUCUACAAAGGACUGCAAAAUAAUGCCAAGACACUGAAAGAAAACGAGAUACAUCUACAAAGGACUGCAAAAUAAUGUACGUAGGAAGACCUUUAGACAUUGUGAGGUGAACGUAACUGGAAUAUGAAUAAAAA